CAAAGGGUUUGGAAAAGUUUUGGAAUUCCAUGGAAUUCCAAACAUUUCCAUACAAGAGUCUAAAAGUGUUUUUGGAAGUUUUUGGAAUCUUUUGGAAUUUGAAUAACAAAUUUGGACUUAGACAUUUUGAGGUUUGGAAAGUUGUGGAAUUCUAUGGAAAAGCUGAUAAAAUGAGAAACUUAGACAUUUUCUGCUCUGGAAAGCUGUGGAAAAUAACUUAGAAUUUUUUCUUAAACUGUCGGCUCAUAGUACAAUUACGUCGGGAUCGAUGUCGGGCUCGAUGAACAAUUAAUUUAAACUACAGCCCGCCAAAAUUCAACAAUUCGGCUGCCAUGUUGUAUUGUUGGACAGAAGGAAAGAGAGUGUCACGAAGAAGGGAACUGCUGUCAUUAUUAGCUUGGAAUGGAAUUUGUAUUUUGACAAAAGAUGCAGACAUUUUAAGACCCGCUGAAGUACUCGAUUUGCACAGCGCCGGCAUAUAAUCAUCAAGCUUGAUGAAAUGUCCUAAUAUGUAGAUGUAGAUGCUAAGUCAUUCAGUCACCUAGCUUGUGAGAAUGGAAUGCUCACAAAAAGGACAAGAGCGAGAGAGCUGUAUGGAAAUUUACACAAAGG